rnacentral:rRNA from 1 species
UACAGAGGGGGCAAGCGUUAUUCGGAAUUAUUGGGCGUAAAGGGCGCGCAGGCGGCCAUUCAAGUGACGGGUGAAAGCCCUCGGCUUAACCGAGGAACUGCCUGUCAGACUGGAUGGCUUGAGACCGGGAGAGGUGAGUGGAAUUCCCAGUGUAGCGGUGAAAUGCGUAGAUAUUGGGAGGAACACCAGUGGCGAAGGCGGCUCACUGGACCGGAACUGACGCUGAGGCGCGAAAGCGUGGGGAGCAAACAGG